CUGACUGGGAACCUGCACUCGCAGCGCGGGGACGAGGACGCCGCGCCACGCAGGCCACGCGGGGACCACGCAGGGACAGACUGAGAAGACUGAGGCUCCGAGAAGUGAUUUAUCCUCGCUGCAGCUGGCUGAGAAAAGGCACGAAUACGGGCGUUGGGGCCGCGGAGCCUGCGGCCAGUGCAAGGUGCAGAACAAACGGAAAGGCUUCCAGCCCCUUUGCUUUCGGUUUUACCUGCUCACAGAGAUGAAGUUCUGGAAGGAUUUCUGAGCGGCACCAUCGGUCCAUGCCCGGAGCAGGGCAGGCAAUCCCGACACCUGCCUGGGAAGUACAAGACCUGCCCGGGACAGUUCACCGACUUUUAGCUACUUUAAAACAAUCCUCUGUUCUUUGUGGCUUUCCUUCAUCGUCUCUGUUUGUGGAUUAUAAAUUGCUCUUUUCUUGAAAGAAAUAUAAACAGAAAUAUCCCCUGCUGCAGCUGCCAGAGGCAGGGCCAGUAGAGGGAGCUCAGCGUUGUCAUCAGUGAUUAAUUCAUGAAUUCACAGUUUCUAACGACGGGCACCUGGGAGCAAAACUUGUCAUAAGACGUUCUGGAGCCUGUGGCCAGACGGGGCAAGUUCAUUUCAGCAAGGGCACAGGGGCUGCCUCUUGCCCAAGCAUCUAAUCGUGCUGCAGCCACGUGGAUCCUUGUUGGAAAGCCUUGUUCACAUAAUUCCUCAAAAACAGGGCCCUUCAUCGUUCCCCUCAUUAACCUACACCCUAUUUGGGUAAACAUGAAAAUCCCCAGGCACUCCGGGAAUUUGUUUAAAAAUGUGUUCUAAAUUUUGUUUUCAAAUUUCUUCCGCUGUAAGAGUUUCAUACUUGUUUGCUAUGUUAGUGUCUGUUCAAAUCUUUAUAGGCUGAGGGUGAAGCCCAGCUGAGAAGAGGCUCAGAGGAGCCUGGCUGGAGCCUGGCCGGGAAGAGGAUCAUCAGCAGUAUCUGUGGACAUUGUUGAGUAGGUGUCAAGGAGCAAAGUAUUUUCAAAGUAACUGACAGGGAUUUAUGUCGUCCUUUGAAUGUAAUAAAGAUUUAUUAUUAGUAGGAAUCCCAGUUUGACUUUACAAAUUGAAUUGACAACGUUAAGAAAGGCA